GACGAACGCUGGCGGCGUGCCUAACACAUGCAAGUCGAGCGAGUGGAGUUCUUCGGAACAAAGCUAGCGGCGGACGGGUGAGUAACACGUGGGCAACCUGCCUCAUAGAGGGGAAUAACCUCCCGAAAGGGAGAUUAAUACCGUAUGGUCCCUCCGGGGUAAAGAUUUAUCGCCAAAAGAUUAGCCCGCGUCUGAUUAGCUAGUUGGUGAGGUAAUGGCUCACCAAGGCGACGAUCAGUAGCUGGUCUGAGAGGACGAUCAGCCACACUGGGACUGAGACACGGCCCAGACUCCUACGGGAGGCAGCAGUUAGGAAUAUUGGACAAUGGGCGCAAGCCUGAUCCAGCCAUGCCGCGUGAGUGAUGAAGGCCUUCGGGUUGUAAAGCUCUUCAGUCCACGAAUAUAAUGACUGUAGUGGAAGAAUAAGCCCCGGCUAACUUCGUGCCAGCCGCCGCCGUAACAC
rnacentral:rRNA from 1 species